rnacentral:rRNA from 1 species
CUACGGGUGGCAGCAGUGGGGAAUAUUGCACAAUGGGCGCAAGCCUGAUGCAGCAACGCCGCGUGAACGAAGAAGGUUUUCGGAUCGUAAAGUUCUUUUCUUGGGGAAGAAACCAUGACGGUACCCAAGGAAUAAGCACCGGCUAACUACGUGCCAGCAGCCGCGGUAAUACGUAGGGUGCAAGCGUUAUCCGGAAUCACUGGGCGUAAAGGGUGCGUAGGCGGUUUUACAAGUCAGAAGUGAAAGGCAAUGGCUCAACCAUUGUAAGCUUUUGAAACUGUAAGACUUGAAUGCAGGAGGGUAAGUGGAAUUCCUAGUGUAGCGGUGAAAUGCGUAGAUAUUAGGAGGAACACCAGUGGCGAGGGCGACUUACUGGACUGUUAUUGACGCUGAGGCACGAAAGCGUGGGGAGCGAACAGGAUUAGAUACCCCCGUAGUC